CGCAGAAAGGUGACGCAAGGUUCCCCACGCAAGGCGCAAAGCGCCGGGGAUGAAACUGGGAAUGUGGAACGGGCCGAUUCAAUCCGGAAGGCCCCGGGCCACAGCCGCCCCCGCGACUGUAAGCGGUGAGCGGGACGUCACUUGGCCACUGGGCCCCGACGCGUCGGGAUCUGGGAAGGCGACGUUCCGUGCACGAGCCGCAAGCCAGGAGACCGGCCCUGCAUGAUGAAACCAA
rnacentral:ncRNA from 1 species